AGGAAAUUCCCAGGACUCCUAGCAUGUCAUGCCCAAGGUUAUUUUUUUCUAAUGGUUCUAAUGGCCCUUUUGCCGACGACGGGGUUCGUGGCUUGAACUACUGCGAAAUCCUGCAUGAUUUUGAACAUUUUAUGACUGGUUCAGUUCGUUCACACAAAUGCUACCCAAGUUGCCCUUCUGGGAUUCUACUCCAGUAGACCACCAAUGCCGGUUUGGUUGUCCUCAACUUCUUCGCAAAUGGGACGGUGCGGAGUGAAUGUCGUCUUUGCCCAAUUGCCUAGUGCCGCGUAUUUCUAUACACUUAAAAAAGAAAACCUUAUCGAUCCAGGAAAGAAACACUUGCGCUUCGGAGGGAGGUUCUUUUGAAGCAAUGGAAACGCUGUCAGAUGCAGAAUGCCGUCGAAGCGAUGCCACUCUGUAAGAGUCACACUUAUAGACGCAAACAUUAGAUCCAAUCACGCUCUUCGAACCUCCAACGAAGCAGGCGUUCAUGAAGAGAGAUGAUCCGGGCCACCAAAGCACACAAUAACAGGUGAGAACCUGGAGAAGUUUUGGGCCCCACAUUGGGCCAUCCCGUACUGAAUACAUCAGGUUCCAGACGGUAUCUGCCUGGAUGGAACACGAAGAGGACACAUUGACAUAAUCGGGAUAUCCGGUUUUGCGGGCCUCCAUGUUGAGCAACCUUUGUACUUCAUCUCUGAUAAAAAGCCCGCCUCCAUAUUCAAACGAAAACACCCCCAAUCGACGCAAAUUUGUUUUCUCGUACCGCCUGAUCUAAACGUCUGCCUCACCCAGCCAGAACCUUCAACAAACAGCCCUCUUAUUGGCGCAAGAUCAACUCAAAAAGUAUGAGCACCACGAGCGGCGCCGGAGGAGGUGGAAAUAACGAGUCCUAUAAGCUCCCAAGGCUUAAGAUGAUGAAGAGCUACUCGAGCAAGCCGCGAGAGAGUCGAAGGAGCGCAAAUAGGGGGGGAAGAGAGAGAGAGAAAAGCAACAGGCCAACCGAGAAAUGAGGAGAGACUCUAAGGAGCGCCGACCAGGAGGUGGUGGUGCCAUCACCUAAAAAUAGGCUUCAAGUUACUACUCAAGUAUUGGUUGCUACGGACCAUAAAUUCUAAGAGUCCUAGGUUACUCUGAUCGUCUCUCCGCUACCCACAUGAUGGCGGUCGGGUGUACGACUUAUCGAGAAUGUGGAGAGAUCUCAUAGUGUUGCUGAUCAUUUCAUGUCAAAUGAUUCACUAUAGCUUUACAGCAA
rnacentral:sRNA from 2 species